GUUUUGGUUUUUCGGGAUGCUUAAUUUCAUCUGCAAACAAGGUUGACCAUCCAAAAGUUUCAGUUUUGUACCCAUUAUUCAAUACUAGCUCAAUAAUCAUAAUGUUUCCUCCGACUUUGUUUAUAAAUUCUGAUAUAUAAUCAUAUUUUAGAGUUAGAGUUUUCUAUUGGGGAAACUUUAGGAACCGAUUGUCCUACAUCGAAAAAAUAGCAGCAGCUGAUCCUAUUUAAAAUGAAUCUAAUUGAAGACAUUAAGGAUUGGGCACCUUCUACAAACUACAGUAGUAUUACUCUUGAUGAGGUUUUGCAUCAUUGGAACAUCAGGCCUAUGUCAUUGCUUUACCUAAGGAAGGAAAAAAAAAAUUGCUAAUUCAGCAAGGAGCUUACAGUGCUGACAAAUACAUUUUCAAACAAUGAAGAGGCAAACAUUCAAAGUUACUGCAGUAUGUUCUAUGUGCACAUCAUUUUCUUCUUCAGUUUCUGCUGUUUUUUGUUCUCUGAGUUGUACAUGUUACCGGUGUUCACAACUAAAAUCAAUUACACAGACUUGACUACAGGUAUGCCGCAACUUACAUCACUUUCUGCCAACACUCUACUUCUUUUUCUUAUUAUAUUUUCUGUGUUUAAAUAGCAUGAACAUACUAAAAACCUGUUAAUUACAAACUAUCCAUUACAAGUUUGCAUUGACUGUUUUCUUCUUUUA